CAGCAGCCGCGGGAAUACGAAGGGGGCUAGCGUUGCUCGGAAUGACUGGGCGUAAAGGGCGCGUAGGCGGUUCGUACAGUCAGAUGUGAAAUUCCUGGGCUUAACCUGGGGGCUGCAUUUGAUACGUGCGGGCUUGAGUGGGGAAGAGGGUCGUGGAAUUCCCAGUGUAGAGGUGAAAUUCGUAGAUAUUGGGAAGAACACCGGUGGCGAAGGCGGCGACCUGGUCCUUGACUGACGCUGAGGCGCGAAAGCGUGGGGAGCAAACAGGAUUAGAUACCCCCGUAGUCCCUGUCUCUUAUAC
rnacentral:rRNA from 1 species